GAAGUUGUGCGGCGGCAACAAGUCGACAACUUCAACUGGUCCAACGCUCGUCAGUGGAGAAGGAAUGUGGAGAAAAAACAAUGAGAAGAAAGAAAAGGAAGCCCAGUGACACUAUUUGAGAUGGUAGGGAAGGAGAGCUGAUGACGCUGUCGCCCUACCUGGUUGUGUAUCUGCACUGCAACAAAAUCCACUGGCGUCCUCACAGAGGAAAGGGCGUCUACAUCUGAGGAGUGGGUGUCCUUUAAAAUCCAGUCCUCAGACACAAUCCACAAACAGCUCUAGGUCCUUUUUCUUUAUUUGGAACUUAUUUGUCUUGUCACUGUCUGUUCAGUGGUUAAUUAAAGUCCAGCUGUU